rnacentral:misc_RNA from 1 species
CCGAGUUGACAAACUCCCAAACCCUUGGGAACCGUUACCAUAAUACGUUGCUUCGGCGGACCGCUCCCGGCGUCCACCGGGCGCGGCCCGGAACCAGGCGCCGCCGUAUGCCCAAACUCUUAUUAACUUAGUGUUUAUCCUCUGAGUACACAUACUAAUAAGUAA